rnacentral:rRNA from 1 species
AACACCUUGAGACAAAAGUUUCGAGGUUAAAAGGAGCAAUUCGCUGGAAGAGGGGUCCGCGCCUGAUUAGCUAGUUGGUGAGGUAACGGCUCACCAAGGCUAUGAUCAGUAGCCGUCCUGAGAGGGAGCACGGCCACACUGGAACUGAGACACGGUCCAGACUCCUACGGGAGGCAGCAGUGGGGAAUUUUUGGCAAUGGGCGAAAGCCUGACCAAGCAACGCCGCGUGGGUGAUGAAGUAUCUUGGUACGUAAAACCCUUUCGGCAGGAACGAACACAAUGACGGUACCUGCAGAAGAAGCCCCGGCUAACUCCGUGCCAGCAGCCGCGGUAAUACGGGGGGGGCAAGCGUUGUUCGGAAUUACUGGGCGUAAAGGGCGCGUAGGCGGUUGGAUAAGUUGGUGGUGAAAACCUCGAGCUUAACUC